ensembl:snRNA U1 U1 spliceosomal RNA
AUACUUACCUGGCAAGGGAGAUACCAUGAUCAAGAAGGUGGUUCACCCGCUGCGAGGCUCAGCCAUUGCACUGAGGCUGUUGCUGACCCGCGCGAAUUCCCCAAAUGUGGGAAUCUCGAUUGCAUAAUUUCUGGUAGUGGGGACUGCGUUCGCUCUCCCUG